rnacentral:lncRNA from 1 species
GGGGGUGGUGCUCAUUGAUAGGUGUUUUCCUUUUGGAAGGGGGCUGUGAUACAUACAGAUUCAACCAAACGGGAAGGAGGGCCUGUGAGCCACUGGGUUUCAAACAAUGUAACCAAGAGUCAACACGUGGGCAGAAAAUAGGUUUCCUUUGCAGUUCAUUAUCUUCAGAAAGAGCUUUCCAGCCUCAGCCUCUCUGCCACCCCGGCUCUCUUAACUUCUUUCCUCUUCUCGGCUUAUUUGGGUUGGCUUCUUGGACCACUUCUCUCUCUCUCAACUGGAGACAGAGGAUCCAACAUAGGAGGCAGACAGACUUGGGCUUCAACCUGCUUCCACUUGCUGUUCUAGGGUUUCCCAUCUUGGCCUCCAGUUUCCCUAUGUGGAUAAUGAAAGAACCGAGUUUCAGAGGGAUCUAGAGGUAUGUAUGUGUAUAUUGAGGGUGGGGGAGGACAUUACCCUGAAUAUAGUAUACUGCACCAAAUGUUGGAGAAGGCAAUGG